UACGAGUGCCUCGAGCGUUAUCCGGAAUUAUUGGGCGUAAAGGGUGUGUAGGCGGUUGUGUUAGUCUUCUGUCAAAUUCUUCGGCUUAACCGGGGGUCCGCAGGGGAAACGGCACAACUAGAGGAUGCGAGAGGUGAACGGAACUCAUGGAGUAGGGGUGAAAUCCGUUGAUAUCAUGGGGAACACCAAAUGCGAAGGCAGUUCACUGGCGCACUCCUGACGCUGAGACACGAAAGCGUAGGUAGCGAAUGGG
rnacentral:rRNA from 1 species